UCAAAGACUUGUCAAGACUCUUGUAUAAUGAACAUAAAAAGGCUUGUUUGUUUUGGGUUAGGUCCCACCAUACCAAUAGAAGUCGCAUCUUUGAUCAAGUCUCAACAUGCUCCUUUUAUUAUCUUAACAGGACCAAGUCUAUAUGUAUGUUAUAUUGUUCCAUUAUAGCAUAAUAAGUACCAUCUAUGAUCUUCUUAACACCCCCAAUGUCGAACCUUUUAUUAUAAUGCCUCAAGAGACAACUACAAGAACCACUUCUAUAUUCGAUAAUAUCUAACAAUCAUGUCUCUUGAGUUGAGUAUUAUAAUCACUCUAUAGGUAACAAGAAGGACCUCUUUUAGAUUCCUAAAGAUCAAGAAAUUCUUCCUCUUGAGUUUAGUAUUCUAAAUAGGUCUUCAUGUGGUAAAAUCACAACUUAUCAAGAGGAGUAUUAUUCAAAGCCUCUUUAGGUUGGAAGAAGUAUUGUCACGGCAUUUAUUAGGAUCCAUCAACUUGUCACGUAAAUUGAGUAUUUUAAUCCCUCAUCAUGUGUGAGUAUUAUUCUCAACAUCUAUAGGACUAACCUCUCUUAACAUUUUAGGCUCAAUAUCAUCAGAGAAACUCUUGGAUUGACACAAGGAUUUGGACCCUCUAUUUGGUCACAUACACAUAAAAAGGAAAAAGGUAUAAGAAAUAAUAAUUAAAUAUCAUUAAUUUUCAAAUGAUUAUAUCAUGUCCACUUUUUUGUGUGUGUGACCAAAUAGAGGGUCCUAAUCCUUGUGUCCACUCAAGAAUUAUUCAUAUCAUCAAGCAUAAAGAUACAUCAAGCCUGAAAGAAUAUGAUGAAAACAAGUUCCAAUGGAAUCAUACCAUGAAGGAAACAAGUUAUAAAUGACACAUUAGCAAACUGGAAGACUAUGACCAGUUUUGUCUUCUUCUAAAGAAAUGUCGCUUUCAAAAUUAUGAUUGUAUUGUUUGUCUUCUUAUGACUUUGUGCAGAAAUAAACAAAGAACUUCAAAGGCAAAAGGAAUGGUCCAGAUCAUUCUAAAAGAAGCAAAGGACUCAUCUAGUAUUAUUCAAUGACAUUAUCAAUUAGUGGCAAAGUUUUCAAAUUUGAUCAAAGCUUCUCAAUGACGAACUUGAUGCGCUGACACUCUUCAAACAACGGCUCUCUUAUUUCUCUCCUAUAUAAGGACAUGAGAAGUUUGAAGAACUUAUGAGACUUCACAUAUUUUACAAGUGUCAAAACUCUGUCAAAUUUAAAAGUGCACAAACACUUAGAAAAUUCUUACAAACUUUAUAUCUUAGAAUUUCUUAGUGUUAGAAGUUACUUGAAAUUAAAGUUAGUUUAUCACUCUUUGAGUACAAAAGUUUAAACACAUUCAAAUUUUGUAAACUCUGAUUGUAGAAGUCCUCUUGUGUAAGGCAAUGAAAUCUUAGACUUGUGUGUCUAAAUAAUUGUAAUCUUGUGCGAUUAUAGUGAAAAUUCUUUGAAAAUGCAAGGAGAUUGAACUAACAUCAGAUUGUGGCCGGGGUGAACCAGG
rnacentral:lncRNA from 1 species